GGCCAUACGAUUGGUCAGGACGGACGCCUCAGCUUACCUGUGUAAAGGCUUUGGCCAACUUGGACACUCUGCUCUUGACCAGCUGAGGUGAACCAUACAUUUAUUUUGUUGAAUUUGGGGAAAACUUGUCAAGUUUUUAGCUGUGUAUAGCUCCUGGUUGAACAUCAGACCGACUUAAUAGAGAGGAAUUGAGGGAAACCUCCACACCAUAGCUAUGGGUUUCUGCGGUGUUAUGACGAAUUUCCGAAGUAUAUACAAGUAUCCCGGUCCACCCUGAAAUAGGUUAUUUGAAAUGCAGUACAUUGUUGGUCUGCUCUGAGCUGAUGCAAAGAGGCGACGAAAAGGGAAUCGAACAGCAAGUUGAAAUAACCGAUAGAAAUGAACAAAUUGCAUUUAUGCUUAAUAACAGGAAUAUACAUGUGUAUAUAUGUGUUGACACACCUCAUAAUAGAGAUCAGACACGAUUUGAUAUAUUUUCUUGUUUGUUUUUUAUAAUUAUGACAUUUAUAAACGGCUACCUUGUAUAGACGUUUGACAUAUUAAAUGCGGUUGUAAUCUACUUUAGUUCGUUUGUAAACUUAAAAUUUGUUUUACUCCUACAUGAAUCUUUACAACAAUGAAUAUGUAAAUACUUAAAAAAAUAUAUAAAAAAAAAUUGUCAUUUGACAUAAUACAAAUUCCAGACAGUGUAACAGUUAAUUUGGUAACCACCUUGUAAUUAAGCGAUUAUAGCUGUGUAUCUUACUGCCACCUGAACCUUAAAAACGGUUAUGCUACAUUUUCCGGCUGCAUUUUCAAUUUCAAUCGCUAAAUUCACCUUUCGUCUCCAGGCCAAAUCACCACAUCAUUAACAGUACGCAUUUCUCGUGGUAACCCGUCCGUGCUACCAGAUUAAAAACCUCAAUUGAUCGAUGUACCUCACAACAAUUUAUGUAGCCAUGUUGUAUAAAAGGUGAAUAUCCUCAC